UACGUAGGGGGCUAGCGUUGUCCGGAAUCAUUGGGCGUAAAGAGCGUGUAGGCGGUCCGGUAAGUCCGCUGUGAAAGUCGGGGGCUCAACCCUCGAAUGCCGGUGGAUACUGUCGGGCUAGAGUGCGGAAGAGGCGAGUGGAAUUCCUGGUGUAGCGGUGAAAUGCGCAGAUAUCAGGAGGAACACCCAUUGCGAAGGCAGCUCGCUGGGACGUUACUGACGCUGAGACGCGAAAGCGUGGGGAGCAAACAGG
rnacentral:rRNA from 1 species